GGGGGUGAUCGGUUUCGACUCUGGUGAUCGAGACGAGAGAAGCGAGCCGUGGUCGCCGGAUCCACGCAAAAGAGCCGGCAACAACAACACAAAUGCCGACGACAACGUCGCACUCGCUGCCUAAGAAGUAGCGACGUCCUCCUGCUCCCCGCCUUGCGGAGCGGGUCGGGACGCCAUAUUGCAGGGCUCACCCGAACGGCUGCGUCAACCGGCCGAACGGGGACACUUCAGUUGACCACGGUGGUCGUACAGCGCUGGUGAUGAGCGACCACCCGGCAAUCCCGCACCAGCUGCGCUCGGAGAAGGCUCGUCAAGACACUCGAGGACGCGGGUUCGAUUCCCGCCACCUCCACUC
rnacentral:tmRNA from 1 species